rnacentral:rRNA from 1 species
UACGAGGGGGGCAAGCGUUGUUCGGAAUUAUUGGGCGUAAAGGGCUCGUAGGCGGCCAACUAAGUCGGAUGUGAAAUCCCCAGGCUUAACCUGGGAACUGCAUCCGAUACUGGUUGGCUUGAAUCCGGGAGAGGGAUGCGGAAUUCCAGGUGUAGCGGUGAAAUGCGUAGAUAUCUGGAGGAACACCGGUGGCGAAGGCGGCAUCCUGGACCGGCAUUGACGCUGAGUGAGCGAAAGCCAGGGGAGCAAACGGG